UACGUAGGGUGCAAGCGUUGUCCGGAAUUAUUGGGCGUAAAGAGCUCGUAGGCGGCUAGUCGCGUCGACUGUGAAAACCCGGGGCUCAACUCCGGGCCUGCAGUCGAUACGGGCUGGCUUGAGUGCGGUAGGGGAGACUGGAAUUCCUGGUGUAGCGGUGAAAUGCGCAGAUAUCAGGAGGAACACCGGUGGCGAAGGCGGGUCUCUGGGCCGUAACUGACGCUGAGGCGCGAAAGCGUGGGGAGCAAACAGG
rnacentral:rRNA from 1 species